GAGGAAAAGAAACUAACAAGGAUUCCCCUAGUAGCGGCGAGCGAAGCGGGAAGAGCUCAAAUUUAUAAUCUGGCACCUUCGGUGUCCGAGUUGUAAUCUCUAGAAAUGUUUUCCGCGUUGGACCGCACACAAGUCUGUUGGAAUACAGCGGCAUAGUGGUGAGACCCCCGUAUAUGGUGCGGACGCCCAGCGCUUUGUGAUACAUUUUCGAAGAGUCGAGUUGUUUGGGAAUGCAGCUCAAAUUGGGUGGUAAAUUCCAUCUAAAGCUAAAUAUUGGCGAGAGACCGAUAGCGAACAAGUACCGUGAGGGAAAGAUGAAAAGCACUUUGGAAAGAGAGUUAACAGUACGUGAAAUUGUUGGAAGGGAAACGCUUGAAGUCAGACUUGCUUGCCGAGCAAUCGGUUUGCAGGCCAGCAUCAGUUUUCCGGGAUGGAUAAUGGUAGAGAGAAGGUAGCAGUUUCGGCUGUGUUAUAGCUCUCUGCUGGAUACAUCUUGGGGGACUGAGGAACGCAGUGUGCCUUUGGCGGGGGUUUCGACCUCUUCACACUUAGGAUGCUGGUGGAAUGGCUUUAAACGAC
rnacentral:rRNA from 1 species